UGCAGUCGAACGAUUAAAGCUCUCUUCGGAGAGUGCAUAGAGUGGCGCACGGGUGAGUAACACGUAAGUAAUCUACCUUCGAGUGGGGAAUAACGUCCGGAAACGGACGCUAAUACCGCAUAAUGCAGCGGCAUCGCAAGAUGACAGUUGUUAAAGAUUUAUCGCUUGAAGAGGAGCUUGCGGCAGAUUAGCUAGUUGGUAAGGUAAUGGCUUACCAAGGCUACGAUCUGUAACCGGUCUUAGAGGACGGUCGGUCACACUGACACUGAAUAACGGGUCAGACUCCUACGGGAGGCAGCAGUCGGGAAUUUUGGGCAAUGGGCGAAAGCCUGACCCAGCAACGCCGCGUGAAGGAUGAAGUAUUUCGGUAUGUAAACUUCGAAAGAAUGGGAAGAAUCAAUGACGGUACCAUUUAUAAGGUCCGGCUAACUACGUGCCAGCAGCCGCGGUAAUACGUAGGGACCAAGCGUUGUUCGGAUUUACUGGGCGUAAAGGGCGCGUAGGCGGCUUUGUAAGUCACUUGUGAAAUCUCCGGGCUUAACUCGGAACGGCCAAGUGAUACUGCAAAGCUAGAGUGCAGAAGGGGCAAUCGGAAUUCUUGGUGUAGCGGUGAAAUGCGUAGAUAUCAAGAGGAACACCUGAGGUGAAGACGGGUUGCUGGGCUGACACUGACGCUGAGGCGCGAAAGCCAGGGGAGCAAACGGGAUUAGAUACCCCGGUAGUCCUGGCCCUAAACGAUGAAUACUUGGUGUCUGGAGUAAUUUGUGCUCCGGGUGCCGUCGCUAACGUUUUUAGUAUUCCGCCUGGGGGAGUACGCUCGCAAGAGUGAAACUCAAAGGAAUUGACGGGGACCCGCACAAGCGGUGGAGCAAGGUGGUUUAAUUCGACGCAACGCGAAGAACCUUACCUAGGCUAGAAUGUGAAGGGAAAGAAAGGGUAACUCCCGAUCGUCCGGGGAAACCGGACCCAAAACAAGGUGCUGCAUGGCUGUCGUCAGCU
rnacentral:rRNA from 1 species